UAGGGAAUCUUCCGCAAUGGGCGAAAGCCUGACGGAGCAACGCCGCGUGAGUGAUGAAGGUCUUCGGAUCGUAAAACUCUGUUAUUAGGGAAGAACAAAUGUGUAAGUAACUAUGCACGUCUUGACGGUACCUAAUCAGAAAGCCACGGCUAACUACGUGCCAGCAGCCGCGGUAAUACGUAGGUGGCAAGCGUUAUCCGGAAUUAUUGGGCGUAAAGCGCGCGUAGGCGGUUUUUUAAGUCUGAUGUGAAAGCCCACGGCUCAACCGUGGAGGGUCAUUGGAGACUGGAAAACUUGAGUGCAGAAGAGGAAAGUGGAAUUCCAUGUGUAGCGGUGAAAUGCGCAGAGAUAUGGAGGAACACCAGUGGCGAAGGCGACUUUCUGGUCUGUAACUGACACUGAUGUGCGAAAGCGUGGGAAUCAAACAGG
rnacentral:rRNA from 1 species